rnacentral:rRNA from 1 species
UUGAGCGCUGGCGGCGUGCCUAACACAUGCAAGUCGAGCGGCAGCGCGGGAGCAAUCCUGGCGGCGAGCGGCGGACGGGUGAGUAAUGCUUGGGAAUCUGCCUGUUAGUGGGGGACAACCCGGGGAAACUCGGGCUAAUACCGCAUACGCACUACGGUGGAAAGCCGGGGACCGCAAGGCCUGGCGCUAACAGAUGAGCCCAAGUCGGAUUAGCUAGUUGGUAGGGUAACGGCCUACCAAGGCGACGAUCCGUAACUGGUCUGAGAGGACGACCAGUCACACCGGAACUGAGACACGGUCCGGACUCCUACGGGAGGCAGCAGUGGGGAAUAUUGGACAAUGGGGGAAACCCUGAUCCAGCGACGCCGCGUGGGUGAAGAAGGCCUGCGGGUUGUAAAGCCCUUUCAGUGGGGGAAGAAAAGCCUCGACCUACACGUCGGGGUCUUGACGUAACCCAUAGAAGAAGCACCGGCUAACUCUGUGCCAGCCGCCGCAGUAAC